GAGACUUUUGACAUCUGAGUGCUCCUGAC
rnacentral:piRNA from 1 species